GAGUCAUGCUGUGAGCACAAGCGAAUUAUUCUUUCGCCUUUUACUAAAGAAUACCGUGUGCUCAUAGUUCGAAUGACAUACUCAUGUUUUUGGAAGGUGACUUUCUAAUAGAAGGUCC
rfam:Cajanus cajan Scaffold137323_26, whole genome shotgun sequence.